rnacentral:rRNA from 1 species
GACGAACGCUGGCGGCGUGCUUAACACAUGCAAGUCGAACGGUAAGGCCCUUCGGGGUACACGAGUGGCGAACGGGUGAGUAACACGUGGGUGAUCUGCCCUGCACUUCGGGAUAAGCCUGGGAAACUGGGUCUAAUACCGGAUAGGACUCCUGGCUUCAUGGUUGGGGGUGGAAAGCUUUUGCGGUGUGGGAUGGGCCCGCGGCCUAUCAGCUUGUUGGUGGGGUAAUGGCCUACCAAGGCGACGACGGGUAGCCGGCCUGAGAGGGUGACCGGUCACACUGGGACUGAGAUACGACCCAGACUCCUACGGGAGGCAGCAGUGGGGAAUAUUGCACAAUGGGCGCAAGCCUGAUGCAGCGACGCCGCAUGAGGGAUGACGGCCUUCGGGUUGUAAACCUCUUUCAGCUAUGACGAAGCGCAAGUGACGGUAGUAGCAGAAGAAGGACCGGCCAACUACGUGCCAGCCGCCGCAGUAA